rnacentral:rRNA from 1 species
AGCGACCUACGGGGGGCAGCAGUGGGGAAUAUUGCACAAUGGGGGAAACCCUGAUGCAGCGACGCCGCGUGAGUGAAGAAGUAAUUCGUUAUGUAAAGCUCUAUCAGCAGGGAAGAAAAUGACGGUACCUGAGUAAGAAGCAUCGGCUAACUCCGUGCCAGCAGCCGCGGUAAUACGGAGGAUGCGAGCGUUAUCCGGAUUUAUUGGGUUUAAAGGGUGCGCAGGCGGGAGAUCAAGUCAGCGGUAAAAUGUCGGGGCUCAAACCCGGGCGGCCGGUGAAACUGGGUUUCUAGAGUUGG